rnacentral:rRNA from 1 species
UACGUAGGGGGCAAGCGUUGUCCGGAAUUAUUGGGCGUAAAGAGCUUGUAGGCGGUUUGUCGCGUCUGCUGUGAAAAUCCGGGGCUCAACCCCGGACUUGCAGUGGGUACGGGCAGACUAGAGUGUGGUAGGGGAGACUGGAAUUCCUGGUGUAGCGGUGAAAUGCGCAGAUAUCAGGAGGAACACCGAUGGCGAAGGCGGCGAUCUGGGAAGAUACUGACGCUGGAGGUGACGAAAGCGUGGGGAGCAAACAGG